rnacentral:rRNA from 1 species
AGUGAACGCUGGCGGUAGGCCUAACACAUGCAAGUCGAACGGCAGCACAGUAAGAGCUUGCUCUUACGGGUGGCGAGUGGCGGACGGGUGAGGAAUACAUCGGAAUCUACUUUUUCGUGGGGGAUAACGUAGGGAAACUUACGCUAAUACCGCAUACGACCUACGGGUGAAAGCAGUGGAUCUUCGGACCUUGCGCGAUUGAAUGAGCCGAUGUCGGAUUAGCUAGUUGGCGGGGUAAAGGCCCACCAAGGCGACGAUCCGUAGCUGGUCUGAGAGGAUGAUCCGCCACACUGGAACUGAGACACGGUCCAGACUCCUACGGGAGGCAGCAGUGGGGAAUAUUGGACAAUGGGCGAAAGCCUGAUCCAGCCAUACCGCGUGGGUGAAGAAGGCCUUCGGGUUGUAAAGCCCUUUUGUUGGGAAAGAAAAGCAGCAGGUUAAUACCCCGCUGUUCUGACGGUACCCAAAGAAUAAGCACCGGCUAACUUCGUG